GACGUCAAAUCAUCAUGCCCCUUAUGAUUUGGGCUACACACGUGCUACAAUGGACAAUACAAAGGGCAGCGAAACCGCGAGGUCAAGCAAAUCCCAUAAAGUUGUUCUCAGUUCGGAUUGUAGUCUGAAACUCGACUACAUGAAGCUGGAAUCGCUAGUAAUCGUAGAUCAGCAUGCUACGGUGAAUACGUUCCCGGGUCUUGUACACACCGCCCGUCACACCACGAGAGUUUGUAACACCCGAAGCCGGUGGAG
rnacentral:rRNA from 1 species